rnacentral:rRNA from 1 species
CCUACGGGAGGCAGCAGUAGGGAAUUUUCCGCAAUGGGCGAAAGCCUGACGGAGCAAUACCGCGUGAGGGAUGACUGCCUAUGGGUUGUAAACCUCUUUUUUCAGGGAGGAAUAAAUGACGUGUACCUGAAGAAUAAGCAUCGGCUAACUCCGUGCCAGCAGCCGCGGUAAGACGGAGGAUGCAAGUGUUAUCCGGAAUCACUGGGCGUAAAGCGUCUGUAGGUGGCUCGACAAGUCAACUGUUAAAUCUUGAAGCUCAACUUCAAAAUCGCAGUCGAAACUAUCGGACUAGAGUAUAGUAGAGGUAAAGGGAAUUUCCAGUGGAGCGGUGAAAUGCGUAGGGAUUGGAAAGAACACCGAUGGCGAAGGCACUUUACUGGGCUAUUACUGACACUCAGAGACGAAAGCUAGGGUAGCAAAUGGGAUUAGAUACCCCAGUAGUCCUAGCCGUAAACAAUGGAUACUAGGUGUUGAACAGAUCGACCUGUGCAGUACCAAAGCUAACGCGUUAAGUAUCCCGCCUGGGAAGUAUGNACGCAAGUUNGAAACUCAAGGAAUUGACGGNNGAGAGNGCGAGACGACGACGAGGAGAGG